UGAGGUGUAGCUCAGUGGUAGAGUGCUUGCCUAGUAUGCGUGAGGCACUGGUUCCACCCCCAGCACUGCAG
rnacentral:tRNA from 1 species